rnacentral:rRNA from 1 species
GACGAACGCUGGCGGCGUGCUUAACACAUGCAAGUCGAACGGAAAGGCCCUGCUUUUGUGGGGUGCUCGAGUGGCGAACGGGUGAGUAACACGUGAGUAACCUGCCCUUGACUUUGGGAUAACUUCAGGAAACUGGGGCUAAUACCGGAUAGGAGCUCCUGCUGCAUGGUGGGGGUUGGAAAGUUUCGGCGGUUGGGGAUGGACUCGCGGCUUAUCAGCUUGUUGGUGGGGUAGUGGCUUACCAAGGCUUUGACGGGUAGCCGGCCUGAGAGGGCGACCGGCCACAUUGGGACUGAGAUACGGCCCAGACUCCUACGGGAGGCAGCAGUGGGGAAUAUUGCACAAUGGGCGGAAGCCUGAUGCAGCAACGCCGCGUGCGGGAUGACGGCCUUCGGGUUGUAAACCGCUUUCGCCUGUGACGAAGCGUGAGUGACGGUAAUGGGGAAAGAAGCACCGGCUAACUACGU